rnacentral:rRNA from 1 species
GACGAACCGUGCGAACGUUGUUCGGAAUCACUGGGCUUAAAGGGCGCGUAGGCGGGCGGUCAAGUCAGAGGUGAAAUCCCACGGCUCAACCGUGGAAGUGCCCCUGAUACUGAUCGUCUCGAGGGAGGUAGGGGCGUGCGGAACUUCCGGUGGAGCGGUGAAAUGCGUAGAUAUCGGAAGGAACACCGAUGGCGAAAGCAGCGCGCUGGACCUCUACUGACGCUGAGGCGGCGAAAGCCAGGGGAGCAAACGGGA